GACAGAGGUGCCAAGCGUUAGGCGGAAUCACUGGGCUUAAAGCGUGUGUAGGCGGAUUGGUAAGUACCUUGUGAAAUCCCACAGCUCAACUGUGGAACUGCUCGGUAUACUGCUUGUCUUGAGCCACUUAGGGGCUGUCGGAACAAAUGGUGGAGCGGUGAAAUGCGUAGAUAUCAUUUGGAACGCCAAAGGUGAAAACAGACAGCUGGGAGUGUGCUGACGCUGAGACACGAAAGCCAGGGGAGCGAACGGG
rnacentral:rRNA from 1 species